rnacentral:rRNA from 1 species
UAAUUGAAGAGUUUGAUCAUGGCUCAGAUUGAACGCUGGCGGCAGGCCUAACACAUGCAAGUCGAGCGGUAACAGGGGAAGCUUGCUUCUCGCUGACGAGCGGCGGACGGGU